GACGAACGCUGGCGGCGUGCUUAACACAUGCAAGUCGAGCGGUAAGGCCCUUUCGGGGUACGACGAGCGGCGAACGGGUGAGUAACACGUGGGUGACCUGCCUUUAGUCUCUGGGAGUAAGCCUGGGAAACCGGGUCUAAUACCGGAUAUGACUCCGCGGCGCAUGUUGUGGGGUGGAAAGCCUUGUGCGGCUGGAGAUGGGCCCGCGGCCUAUCAGCUUGUUGGUGGGGU
rnacentral:rRNA from 1 species